AGCGUUUAGAGAUCCUGUCACCUCAUCCUCUGAGACGAUCAUCACCAUGUUCGCUGUGAAAGCAGUUUGCCUCCUGGCCACCGUCGCUAUGCUUGUUGCAGUUGUGGCUGCGGGAGCUCCGAAUAAGAGAGUCUGCCAAUAUGUAAUGGGUCGAACAGUAUGUUAUGACGAUUAAAGAUGAAGAGACAUCAAGCAUCCACUGAAGACCUUAAUCACUAAAAACACUGUGUAGUCAAUUAAUAAAGUAGUCAUGCAUACCUA